GCGGCGUGGAUUAGGCAUGCAAGUCGAGCGGGAUCCAUGGAAUUCAAUUCUUCGGAAAAGAUUUCUGUGGUGAGAGCGGCGAACGGGUGAGUAAUGCGCAGACAACUUGCCCUCGGGUCAGGGAUAGCCCCCCGAAAGGGGGAUUAAUACCGGAUAUGGUCGCCUCGCGCAUGCGGGGUUAUCCAAAGGUGCCUGUUUACAGGUGUCGCCCGAGGAUGGGUUUGCGUUCUAUCAGCUUGUUGGCGGGGUAACGGCCCACCAAGGCAAUGACGGAUAGCUGGUCUGAGAGGAUGGUCAGCCACACUGGGACUGAGACACUGCCCAGACUCCUACGGGAGGCUGCAGUCGAGAAUCAUUCGCAAUGCGCGCAAGCGUGACGAUGCGACGCCGCGUGGAGGAUGAAGGCCUUCGGGUUGUAAACUCCUGUCAUGAGGGAACAAAGCUUGCGGGUUAAUACCCCGUGAGUGUGAUGGUACCUCAAGAGGAAGUCACGGCUAACUCUGUGCCAGCAGCCGCGGUAAUACAGAGGUGGCAAGCGUUGUCCGGAUUUACUGGGCGUAAAGGGUGCGCAGGCGGUUCGGUAUGUCGGAUGUGAAAUCUCACGGCUCAACCGUGAAAGGUCAUUCGAAACUGCCGGACUAGAGUACUGGAGAGGAGAGCGGAAUUCUUGGAGUAGCGGUGAAAUGCGUAGAUAUCAAGAAGAACACCGGUGGCGAAGGCGGCUCUCUGGACAGUUACUGACGCUGAGGCACGAAAGCCAGGGUAGCGAAGAGGAUUAGAUACCCUCGUAGUCCUGGCCGUAAACGAUGUGCACUUGGUGUGGG
rnacentral:rRNA from 1 species